rnacentral:lncRNA from 10 species
ACAGCUAAACAGCAACCCCCUACCCGCUUCGUCUCCCUCCGCCGCUAUCGGGGCCUAAGCGGGAGCGGCUGGCACGGCGUCACUGGGUGGGCUGGGGCGGAAGUGGAGGCGGAGGGAGACGGUGGCGUCGUCCGCGGGGCCCUGGGCUCUCGCGGCGAGGCCCUGGUGGGCGCGAGGCAGGGGGAGGGGGAGGAGGAGGAGCCCGCGGCCCGGGCGGCGGCGGCUCUCGGGUUCUCCGUAGGGCCCCGCCUCGGAGCGGGCGGCGGCGGAGGAGGAGACUGAGGAGCAGGAUGGCGGCCUCGGCCCUGUACGCCUGCACCAAGUGUACCCAGCGUUAUCCUUUCGAGGAGCUCUCCCAGGGCCAGCAGCUCUGCAAGGAAAGCGAAGCGACUGGUUUGGGAACAGAAUGCUCUGAUUUGGAGCUCCUCCCAUCCCAUUAAAGCCUGGAUGCUGUCUGUGAGCAACGGAAUGUCGGAUUGCACAUCCUAUUGUAAAAUGUACUUACUGCAGAUCAGAAUUUCAACAAGAGAGCAAAACUAACACAAUUUGUAAGAAGUGUGCUCAAAAUGUGAAGCAAUUUGGGAC